CUUUGCUACUGCGGAGGACAUUAUUGAGUUCUUUGAAGUGGGGGUGCUGUUUACCAGCUUUUUGUCUCUGAUGCUGGCAAUAUUACCUUAUUGCAUGUGCUCGAGUCUUUCUAGACGAAGUGAAAUGGCCUCCUGCUUUCAAUUCUGCUCACAUUCUUCAACACCUGUGCACCAAUAAGCAAAGUUCAGAUAUGUGAGCGGCUAUCACUUGUGAAUUUGUAUUUGCAAUGUAGUAGUAGUACUGUGCAAUCCUCAAUAUUACGAUUGACCACCAAGGGGGAUUGACAUCCCAAAGUGGAAAAGUAAUGAAGAUUUGCAAUAUGGGUGCAAUACUACAUGCAUAUAUGCGCACUCACAUGAGGGGGGGUAGCUCAUUGAUGCUGGCCUUUGUCUUUUUACACAAACUCUAUAUAUUUGUAGAAAAGGGGGAAAUGCUCAUUGUGAGCAAUAAAAUAUAUACAACUUUCAACAAUGGAUCUCUUGGCUCUCGCAUCGAUGAAGAACGCAGCGAAAUGCGAUAAGUAAUGUGAAUUGCAGAAUUCAGUGAAUCAUCGAAUCUUUGAACACAUCUUGUGCUCCUUGGGUUACCUAUGGAGCAUGCCUGUUUGAGUGUCAUGUUGGUCUCAAUUCUCUCUCGGGUUCUUUGUGUAAAAGACCUGUCAGAGCAAAUUGGAUUUGGAGGUUUUUUAUGCAGGUCCUCUUUAGGAGAGAUCAGCUCCUCUUAAAAGCAUUAGCUGGAGGAUAAAGCAAAAAUGACUCUUUAGCAUUGUUCAUUGGCUAUGGUGUAAUAAUUGUUCCAUCAUGGCAUUUUGGAUGCAAGAGACUUUUCGCAAUAUUCUCUGCUUCUAAUCCUGACAGUCCUUUAUUGACUCUCUCUCUUUGACCUCAAAUCACGUAGGACUACCCGCUGAACUUAGUCAA
rnacentral:rRNA from 1 species